rnacentral:rRNA from 1 species
GACGAACGCUGGCGGCGUGCUUAACACAUGCAAGUCGAACGGAAAGGCCUCUUUCGGGGGGUACUCGAGUGGCGAACGGGUGAGUAACACGUGAGUAACCUGCCCUUGACUUUGGGAUAACUUCAGGAAACUGGGGCUAAUACCGGAUAGGAGCUCCUGCUGCAUGGUGGGGGUUGGAAAGUUUCGGCGGUUGGGGAUGGACUCGCGGCUUAUCAGCUUGUUGGUGGGGUAGUGGCUUACCAAGGCUUUGACGGGUAGCCGGCCUGGGAGGGUGACCGGCCACAUUGGGACUGAGAUACGGCCCAGACUCCUACGGGAGGCAGCAGUGGGGAAUAUUGCACAAUGGGUGGAAGCCUGAUGCAGCAACGCCGUGUGCGGGAGGACGGCCUUCGGGUUGUAAACCGCUUUCGCUCAUGACGAAGCUUUGUGUGACGGUAGUGGGUAAAGAAGCACCGGCUAACUACGUG